rnacentral:rRNA from 1 species
AACGAACGCUGGCGGCAUGCCUAACACAUGCAGGUCGAACGAGACCUUCGGGUCUAGUGGCGCACGGGUGCGUAACGCGUGGGAACCUGCCCUUAGGUUCGGAAUAACUCCCCGAAAGGGGUGCUAAUACCGGAUAAUGUCUUCGGACCAAAGAUUUAUCGCCUUUGGAUGGGCCCGCGUUGGAUUAGCUAGUUGGUAGGGUAAAAGCCUACCAAGGUGACGAUCCAUAGCUGGUCUGAGAGGAUGAUCAGCCACACUGGGACUGAGACACGGCCCAGACUCCUACGGGAGGCAGCAGUGGGGAAUAUUGGACAAUGGGCGAAAGCCUGAUCCAGCAAUGCCGCGUGAGUGAUGAAGGCCUUAGGGUUGUAAAGCUCUUUUACCCGGGAUGAUAAUGACAGUACCGGGAGAAUAAGCGCCGGCUAACUCCGUG